UUGCAAUAGCCCUGCAAGAGCAAGAGAGGAGGGCCUUCACAACUCUCCUCCCUACGAUAUUCCAAACCAACAGUGAUGAGCUCGAAAGCGAUUCCUCAGAUGAAACCGACGAUGACGAGGACGAGGACAGCGAUGAUGACAGCCAUGACUUCUUCCCCAACAGCCAUGAAACGGAAGAGGGGCUAGAGUUCUUGGAGGGAGAAGGCAGCAACAGCGAUCAAGACAUGGAGGAGGACGACAUCGACCCGGACCAACUUUCUUACGAGGAGUUGAUUGCCUUAGGAGAGAUUGUUGGAGAAGAGAGUAGAGGAUUA
rnacentral:lncRNA from 1 species